AUUAGCAUCUAAUAAAACUACUUAGCCGCUAGCCGCUGUGCUUAAGACUGAAAGCUUGCCCCGGACAAGUUCCACAGAAAGAAAGGAGAAAAAUAUGUAAAAAAAAAAAAGAAAGAGAUUUUUUUUUAAAGUACUCGAUACGAAAAUUUGUCAAAGUCUAAGAUUUAUUUGAGAAGUUUCUCUGCGCAGACGAUAUUCUGAGCAGACGACGUAAGCCUGUGAGUGUAUUGCUGUGAAUAUAUAGACAACAGAUUCUGGCAUAAGACGGAAGUUGUUUGCCGUGUCUUUUCAGUCGGAUGUUUCUGAAUUGUUCUCACUUCCAUUGAUGACAUCAAUUUUAUGUUAAGGUUUAAAGAGUUCAGGACACCGAAGAGAUCUACUAAUGGAAUACAUUCACUGCUAAAAUGUUCUGCAAAAGUGAUCGUUUAUUCUUAACUCCAUUGGACUGCCUCAGUUUGUGGAGUGUAUAGGGUUCCGCUGUUCAAAACCAUUAAAUCUAUUUCAGCAACUGAAAAAAUAAUCAUUGUAAUAGAUCUAAUGAUAUAAAAACACGGAGUUUGUUAAAAAAACAACAACAAAGAGUGAAGAAAUUGUCCGGUCCUUAUCUAGAGUAUUCUAAAAUAUUCCUAUUUGGAUUCGCUACACACGAAUUGUUUAUGGCCACUGAUUAUCUACGCUGAAGAAAAGGUUAAACUUAAGAGAAGAUACAUUUCUAUUUGCUAGAUCUCUCAGUGCAUCCAGCCUGGAGGAGUUUCAAGCUGCCGCAAUGAACGGUCUUCUUCAGAUGGGCUCAGGCCCGGCUCAGAUGCCCCCUGGGUUCAGCCACCCCCACCAUGGUCACUACAACAGCAACGCUCAUCACCACCAUCAUCAUCACACGCAUCCACAUCUAGGACAACUGUACCAGCAGCAGCGUCCCUCCUUCGCCAUCCAGGAGAUUCUCGGGCUAGGCUGCAGACAGCCUACCUCACCGUCCCCAGUAGGUGACGGAGGGCUAAUGGACCCUUCAGCAGGCAUCUCCGCAGUGCAGAACAGCCUGGGAGGGAUGUACUUUCCAGGACAGCACAUGCCCCAGGGGCUUCAGAACGAGCCCCAAAACCAGGGGUAUCAUCAAUCGGGGCCUCAGCAUGGCGGAUCUCACCCUCACGCUGCGGCGACUGGGCCCCUGUACCCAUGGAGGUUUGACUUGACUUCAACGACCACACCACAGACUCUACCAGGUCCGAGAUUUCCCGGAGUUGGCAGACAUGCUGAAGAACUAAACUUUGGUUAUAAACAUAAUAUCGCAGACGAAGUGCCCCACCAAGCCUACUUACACCCAGACAAGCCCCAGGACGCUAGCACUUUGUCAGGCAAGAAGUCAAAGAAGAGGAGACGUCACAGGACUAUCUUCACAAGUUACCAACUCGAAGAACUGGAGAAAGCCUUCAAAGAUGCUCAUUACCCUGACCUCUAUGCCCGGGAACUUUUGGCACUAAAAAUAGACUUGCCGGAAGAUCGAAUUCAGGUUUGGUUCCAGAACCGCAGGGCCAAGUGGAGGAAGACAGAGAAGACGUGGGGCAAGAGUUCCAUCAUGGCGGAGUAUGGAUUGUAUGGCGCCAUGGUCAGACACGCCUUGCCCUUACCCGACGCCAUUGUGAAGAGUGCGGAAAAGGGCAUCGAGCACUCGGCGGCGCCCUGGUUGUUAGGUAUGCACAAGAAAUCUCUAGAAGCCUCCAAAAAAAUGAGCGAGGAAGAUAGCGACCUGUCAGGCAACGAGACGGGUUCAGAGGGCAAAGGUCGUGUCAAAGAAGAGCGGAAGACUGAGAGUAUCGCCACAUUGAGGGCCAAGGCUCAGGAGCACAGCGCCAAAGUGCUGCAGGCGCUCCAGAAAGAGGAGGAAGCAAACUACUGCGACAGGAGGAACAUGCAGGAGCACAAGCGUCAUGAGUUUAUCGAAUCUUUGUCCAGGGGCGUCGUCAUGUGUUGAUUCCCCUUUAAAGAUUUUAAGAUCACUUCAUGAAAAUAAAAGUGAAUAUAUUUGUGUGAGUAGUGAUGACAAACACUGAGGUGAAUUAGACAUCCAAAACACUGAGGUGAUAUAGACAUCCAAAACACUGAGGUGAAUUAGACAUCCAAAACACUGAGGUGAAUUAGACAUCCAAAACACUGAGGUGAAUUAGACAUCCAAAACACUGAGGUGAUAUAGACAUCCAAAACACUGAGGUGAUAUAGACAUCCAAAACACUGAGGUGAUAUAGACAUCCAAAACACUGAGGUGAUAUAGACAUCCAAAACACUGAGGUGAUAUAGACAUCCAAAACACUGAGGUGAUAUAGACAUCCAAAACACUGAAUCACUGCAGAGAUUAAGAAUUCUUGUGAUGUUUUGUUUUCAAUUUGUUCGACUCCAUAAGAAGAAAAUGCUUUGCAAGUAACAUUACAAGAUCUCUGUUGAAAUAGCAAACAUUGCAAGAGACUCCGGAGAUAAAUACAAAUUGUACAAUUUAUUAAAUUAAUUCGUGGAUGUCUUUUGUUUUUAGUAGUUACUAAGUGUGGUCAGAAAUGUUGAGAUGGAUAGACCUAUAACAAUGAUGUAUUAUAACUUAUCGCCACUACACAAUGUGACGUCAAACAUUUCAAGAGGUGGAUAGACCUAUAACAAUGAUGUAUUAUAACUUAUCGCCACUACACAAUGUGACGUCAAACAUUUCAAGAGGUGGAUAGACCUAUAACAAUGAUGUAUUAUAACUUAUCGCCACUACACAAUGUGACGUCAAACAUUUCAAGAGGUGGAUAGACCUAUAACAAUGAUGUAUUAUAACUUAUCGCCACUACACAAUGUGACGUCAAACAUUUCAAGAGGUGGAUAGACCUAUAACAAUGAUGUAUUAUAACUUAUCGCCACUACACAAUGUGACGUCAAACAUUUCAAGAGGUGGAUAGACCUAUAACAAUGAUGUAUUAUAACUUAUCGCCACUACACAAUGUGACGUCAAACAUUUCAAGAGGUGGAUAGACCUAUAACAAUGAUGUAUUAUAACUUAUCGCCACUACACAAUGUGACGUCAAACAUUUCAAGAGGUGGAUAGACCUAUAACAAUGAUGUAUUAUAACUUAUCGCCACUACACAAUGUGACGUCAAACAUUUCAAGAGGUGGAUAGACCUAUAACAAUGAUGUAUUAUAACUUAUCGCCACUACACAAUGUGACGUCAAACAUUUCAAGAGGUGGAUAGACCUAUAACAAUGAUGUAUUAUAACUUAUCGCCACUACACAAUGUGACGUCAAACAUUUCAAGAGGUGGAUAGACCUAUAACAAUGAUGUAUUAUAACUUAUCGCCACUACACAAUGUGACGUCAAACAUUUCAAGAGGUGGAUAGACCUAUAACAAUGAUGUAUUAUAACUUAUCGCCACGACACUCUGUGACGUCAAACAUUUCAAGAGGUGGAUAGACCUAUAACAAUGAUGUAUUAUAACUUAUCGCCACUACACAAUGUGACGUCAAACAUUGCAAGAGGUGGAUAGACCUAUAACAAUGAUGUAUUAUAACUUAUCGCCACUACACAAUGUGACGUCAAACAUUUCAAGAGGUGGAUAGACCUAUAACAAUGAUGUAUUAUAACUUAUCGCCACUACACAAUGUGACGUCAAACAUUUCAAGAGGUGGAUAGACCUAUAACAAUGAUGUAUUAUAACUUAUCGCCACGACACUCUGUGACGUCACACAUUUCAAGAGGUGGAUAGACCUUCAACAAUGAUGUAUUAUAACUUAUCGCCACGACACUCUGUGAAACCACGUUAAAACUUUGAGUUUGUAAGUCUAGUGUUCCAGCUUGAUGUGUUAGAUACAUCGCCAGGAUUGCAAGGUGAAAAUGGUCAUUUGUCAAUGCGUCUUUUUAAUAUAUCUUUAUUUAAUGUCCCUCUGACCUUGCGAUAUUCUCCCUGUGUCGAGCUCGAGGCUCUGGGAUGGACAGUCCAGAGAUACAACAACCCGUCACUGUUUAGAAAAUAUUGUAUUUAUUGUAUUGAAAGUAGUCAGAAGAUCCAAACUAGGCCUUAGAGUUGAAUCCAGUUGAAACCACCAACUCGACCCAACUAAAAAAAAAAACAACAUUAUUUUGUGUUUGAAAUCCUGACGUCAUAUUUCGUGAAACCACUGCAAACGUUGGAAACAAAUAAAUGUGGGUCUAGACGGUUCUCAAGCUGUGUCCUUGUUUCGUGGGGUCUAGACGGUUCUCAAGCUGUGUCCUUGUUUCGUGGGGUCUAGACGGUUCUCAAGCUGUGUCCUUGUUUCGUGGGGUCUAGACGGUUCUCAAGCUGUGUCCUUGUUUCGUGGGGUCUAGACGGUUCUCAAGCUGUGUCCUUGUUUCGUGGGGUCUAGAAGGUUCUCAAAACUGUGUCCUUGUUUCGUGGCUCUGAUAUUUUAGUUCAUGUCUGACUUUCAGGUCUAGACAAUGAGCUCCAAAGAAUUGAAACGCACUGAUAACAUAGAUUAACAGUUGUACCGGAGUGAAGUUCUUGCUCCAAACCUGAGGAUGAACAGCACUAGAUAGUUCAUUGCCCUGUCAUUCGGUUUUCUUGCAAGGACUUGAUUUUUUCAUCAUUUAUUAUGCAAGAGAAUAUCUCCUAGAAUUAGUUAGAGAACACUGAUCCAUAUCUGACUGACACAAGAUCACUUCGUCCCUCCCUAUAACUACCGCCUCCCACCCGAAAUAAAACACAAACCAGCCCAAAUAGACUGCUCAUGUUGUCCUCAGUGAACUGACCAUGACCCCUUGGAUUAUGUGUGUAUAGAAUGUAAGCAUAUACUGUUGGGUUGUUAAGGCCGAAAUGUCUUGUAUUUCUGUUAUAUAAGAAAAUGGUAUAAUUAAGUGCUUACUGAUGUGACAUUUCUAUUAAGUGUUGUUAGCUUACAGUGCCGAUGUCUUUUUGAAUUCUAGUUUGCAGUGUUAGGUUGAGCGAUGCCAUAGUUUAGUAUGGACACAUUAUCUCAAAGUUUAAACUGUCCAGUCACGUGAUGCGAGUACACUCUUCUCCUGGUGACGGAAUUGGGAAAGUGAAAAAGCAUCAGCUGAGAAUGAUCUGAGGAACAAAAUAAUUUGAUAUUUAGUUUGAGCUGCGUCAACUCAAACGUUUUGAAAAGUUAGUUUGACUAAUUCUUUGUCGGACAGCUAUUCGUGACAUUUUCAAAAAUAUACCUUUAAUUACUGAUAGCCUUUAGACUUACUCGACUUCAGAAACUAAUAGCCUUGUGUCUUCAAUUUGCAACAAAGGGACAAAACUCUCACGUCGAUUCAAGCUGGAACAAAGAAAAUAAAAGCCCAAAGAAAUAUUUUUUUAAUAAGAAAUGUCUAUCGUCUGCUGGGACGUUCAUCCCCCUGCAAGUAUCACGUCUGAUGUGUUCUCCAUUUGAAACUAUCUCCAACAACUCUGAAAGUAAUCCGAAUGGCGCCCCUCCGUUAGGGCGUUAAAGUCUAAGAGUUCAAUUUUGGUAAUUUUUCUUAGCUUAAGUCUAAUCAAGAUGCCAGAAUUUGUCAAUCAAAGUCGAGGUACUGUCAGAGGAUAUGGCUUGGAAUGUGCGAUGUUUGAUCUCAGAUGCAGACUGUCUAGGUUCAAACACUUGUUCGAGUCCGAACUAGCUUAGGAUAAUGGUUAGUAUCCAAGAAAUCCAAUGGCUUUCACUCAACUCUUAAAGAUUCUCACCAUCACUGGCGUCCAACAGUGUAAUCACACAUCCAGGUAUACAUUACAAUGUCUUUAGUGAGACUUGGAGAUAAUCUUUAAUUGAAGAGGUUUAUUAAAUGACUUGAAAUGUAAAUUAUGUACAUAAUUGUGAUGUCAUUGGAACUUAAACAUGACGACUUGUUAACCUGCUAUUGUUGUCGCAUCCUUUCAGUGUCCAUGUUUUCAUUUCUUGAGGUGGCUCUAGUAGGCUAGUUGUUGAACUUGGACAUACUAAGAAAAAAGGGAGAUCACCCACGUUAUUUUUGUUACUGUUUUGUAAGAAUGAUUUGGCAAAGGUUUUACAAAAACAAAAAAAAAAUAAUUUCGUUAGUAUUUUGGAUGUAAAGAAUGUUUAGGUACUCUAUAAUUGUCAACACAAAGAAAAAAAAAUGAUUUGAAAAUAUCUUUCACUGACCAUGCCAUUAGAUCCACAGUUUGCUCUGUACUUAGACGUAAGAUAGGUACAGCAUACAAAGAAAACAGAAUUUGUUUUUUUGCAUACGAGUAUAGAAUGAUAUUGUCGAGGCACUGACCUUAUGCCAUGGAGUUUGUAACACUAAAUUGUACACUGACUUUUGUGACAGACUUUUGUGACAUUGACUUUGUGAAACUGACUUUAUAGCACUGAAUAAGUGAGGCUCACUUUGUGACAAACUGAAGUAUCUUAACAAGCCAUGGAUCUAAUUAAAAAUGACAUCCAAACACAAAAGACAUGGUGCACAUGAGAGAGAUGUGGUAUGUGCUCGUAAUUAUUAUAAGAAAAGAUGUACUCAUAAGAAAGAGUCCUAAGGGCUGUACAUACAAGAAACUGUAUUUGUGUUACUGUAUUUGGACAAAAAAUCUAGACAUCUUUAAACUUGUUCAGAAGACAAUUUCUUUGCGUUCACAAACACUGACACACUUUUUGAUUGUCCACAUGUUGCUCCAGUACAACUUUUCUUCAGAUUUGUCGAUUUAUAAAAUAAUUUAUGCAUUUUGGAUUUUUUCUGUGUAUAUUUUGUUUGAAAAAUGCAUAAUGAGUUACCAAUAUACAAAGUAAUAGUUCUCACAACUUGAGAUUUCAUUCAUUUGAUUCCACGACAGUUUCAGUCAAUAAAAAUGGAAAAAAAUAUAUACAUGUUUUUGUCUAUGCAUCACGUG